GGUUUUCUUUUCAGCGCAACUGCCAGCCGUGUCUCGUGGUAUGCCUCUUCGGGGAUCCGCCCCUCUUCCUCUGAGCUCCACUCUCUCCGGCGUCGAGAGAAAUCCUGAGAGACCUGGGGAAGGGUAUUGUGAUACCUGAAAGCUAUUGCAACCAUGCAGUUGAUCCAAUGAAAGAUAUCACCCCCAAGAAUUCGUGUCUUUCCAGCAACCAACCAUGAAACUUAUGAAGUGCCUAUGCUUUGGCUUUCACACACCUUCAGAACAGACCGAACACUAAGGCAUACUCCUCCUAAGACAGUGUCUAAGGAAGUUUGGACAGAUGUUCUCCAGGGAGAUGAGCAAUGCAGCUAACUUGUUCGCUGGCAUGGUGUCACAUCGGAUCCAGAAUUGUAAAGUCAAAACUGACAUCAUAAAGUUGAAACCGGGUGUCAAUUUAUAAACAUUGUCUGAAGAAGAGACGAUACCCUGACACCUGAGAAUUUUCCACCUGAGCUUAAUAUGGCAUGAUACUGAAGAUCAAUAGGAGUUGGACAUGCUCAAAACAGCUUAGUACCAUCCAGGAAUGAAGUGUAAAAGGAGCAGUCAAUUCAAAUAUCAAUGUACUGAAAAAAAUUACACAUCCCAUGUCAUGUCUAGAUCAGCUUCUCUAGGGUUUUUGUUUGGUUGGGUUUUUUUGCAAAGAAAAAGACUGUUGGAAGUUAGUAUUUCUAGUCUUCUCCUAUGCAUAAAUUGGUAUUUCUAAAAGACUUAAAGAAAUAGUGUGUAACUGACCUUGUAAUUUUAAAAUUCAAAGUUAAAUUCCCUUAAGUCAAUAAAACUGAAUAGUGCUCAUCAUCAUUUUAAUGGCAAGCCCAGCCUCUAAUGCUAAUUGUGAUAUAUUUGUAGAACUAUGCGUGUAUAAUGAAAGCUUCAUGUUUUAUAAUAUAUAUUUUAAAAGUUAAGGUACAACCUCUGAAACGAUAGGAAAUUGAUUGAACAGGACACUUUUCUCUUUGUCUCUCACAGAGGUGGGCAAGCAUAAUGUUCAAGUUUCUCUCAGUCUCACCCACAAACCUUAACACUGACCUGAAGUAGCAAUCUCAAAGGAUUAGUCAAUGUCCUGCUGUAUUUCAGACCAGCCAUUACACAGCUACAUAAACAACAUAAACAACAUUCCACUAGGGGGAAUGCCAUACUGGAUCUGGUAUUGGCAACAGGGGAUGACAUGAUAGGGGACCUCCAGAUCGGUAGCCAUUUGGGAGACAGUGAUCACCUAAUAAUAGAAUUCAACAUAAGACGUCGAGUGGGUAAGGUAACUAGUAGGGUGAAAGUGGUAGACUUUAGGAAAGCUGAUCUCAAUGCACUCAGGCGAUUAGUCAAGGACGCACUGCAGAGUAGGAGUUUUGAAGGGAUGGGAGCCCAAGAAGGGUGGCUGUGCCUUAAGGAAACGAUCCUUCGGGCACAAAGCGAGACGAUCCCCGAGCGAGGCAAAAAAGGGAAAGGGGCCAGGAGGCUUCCAUGGCUGACCAGAGAAAUCCAGGGCAGCCUAAGGGCCAAAAGGGGAGCACAUAAAAAGUGGAAAAAG